rnacentral:sRNA from 1 species
AAUGUUUAGUGUUCUAAAUGAUUUUGAAUUGCUUAAUUAGUUUGGAAUUUAGAAGCUGAAAGAAAGACACAACAACUUAAAAUAAUCCAAAGAGUCAUGCUUAAAUAAAUCCAACCAACAUAACUGUUGUGAUUUAUGACAGAUUAGGGUUUUACGAUUUGGAGUUUUUUCUGAACACGAGUUUAGUGUGGUCUAUGGCAAGCAAACUUCGUGUGGUUUUGGCGUUAAAUACAAACGUCUCGUUGUUUAAUUACUGUGGGGUUAAGUUUAUUAACAGGUUUUAGUUCAGGGUUUGUUUUACUAAAAACAUAGUUCAGGGUGGCCAAAGUUGAGGUUUUUUUUCAUUAAAUUUU